rnacentral:lncRNA from 1 species
GGCGCUUUCAGGAACAGCAAGAUCGAGCUCACGGUGGCGCUGCCAAACGAGAUGCUGCGGCUGGUGGGAUCGCUCCCGGCGGCGGCUCGCAAUUGGGUUCGUAGGAACGUGACGCGCUACAUCCGAGAGAACGUCAAUAUCAAGUAAAAACUCUCUCUCGAUCGAUCAUAGAGAAAGCUAGAAAAACAAAAGCUUGCCUGGAUGGAUCAUGGCUGUUUGGCUGCUUGAUCGAUUGCUCCCAGCUUUUCUAGCAUCUGGAACAUAGAUGAAAGUCGAUGAGGGGUAACUUUAGCGUUUCUAGCAUCUGGAAAGUCCAUGAGUGGUUUUGUCUGAUCGAUUGUUACCAGCUUUUCCAGCAUCUGGAACAUAGAUCAAAGUCGAUGAGUGGUAGCUUUGAUCGAUUACUACCUCGAUUGAUCGUCCAAAACUCUGUCCAUCCAGGUAUGUAGCGAUCGGCAACGAGCCCUUCCUCAAGAGCUACAAUGGGAGCUAUCAAUCCUACACGUACCCAGCGCUGAUCAACAUCCAGAACGCGCUACGCGGCGGCGACGAAGGCACCCGCGCCGUCAAGGCAACCAUCCCCAUGAACGCCGACGUGCUGGCGGAGACCGUACCCAUGAUCCCAUCUGGGGGCGCAUUCCGUACCGAUGUGGCCGCCGAGAUGAGCCGCAUCGCCGCCGCGCUCGCCGAUCACGCGUCGCCCUUCACGAUCAACAUCUACCCCUUCCUCAGCCUGGCGCAGGAUCCAUUCUUCCCCAAGGAAUUCGCCUUCUUGGACGGCGCCGCCCCGCCGCUCGUCGAUGGCGAUCGAUCCUACUCCAACGCCUUCGCCGCCGCCUACGAUACCCUAGCCGCGGCGCUCGCGAGGAUCGGCUUCCCGGACAUGGCGAUCGUGGUGGGAGAGAUCGGCUGGCCGACCGAGGGGCAUCCCGACGCCACCGCUACAAACGCUCAGCGAUUCAACCAGCGGCUCGUGGAUCACAUCCUGGACGGCGCCGGGACGCCGAUGCGCGCGGGGCCGAUGGAGAUUUUCCUCUUCGCGCUGCUCGACGAGGACCAGAAACCUAUCGCGGCUGGAAACUUCGAGCGCCACUGGGGAAUCCUCGCAUCCGACGGGGCGGCAAAGUACACGCUCAACCUAACAGUUUUGGGCGGGACAAAUUCAAAUUCAAAUUCAAAUUUGAAUUCUUCCCGCCCGGCUAUGGCGAUGGACGGGGUUAGGGUUCGUCGCCUCCCCAGCAAGUGGUGCGUGCUCAAUCCCGACGCCGAUGUCACGCUCGUCGGCCAGAACAUGGAGUACGCUUGCAGCUUCGCCGAUUGCACGCCGCUCAUGUAUGGGGGAUCGUGCAACGAGAUUGGCGGCGAUGGGAACGCUUCCUUCGCUUUCAAUAGCUACUUCCAGAUCAAUCAGCAGGAG